rnacentral:rRNA from 1 species
GACGAACGCUGGCGGCGUGCUUAACACAUGCAAGUCGAACGGAAAGGCCCUGCUUGCAGGGUACUCGAGUGGCGAACGGGUGAGUAACACGUGGGUGAUCUGCCCUGCACUUCGGGAUAAGCCUGGGAAACUGGGUCUAAUACCGGAUAGGAGCCAUUUUUAGUGUGAUGGUUGGAAAGUUUUUUCGGUGUAGGAUGAGCUCGCGGCCUAUCAGCUUGUUGGUGGGGUAAUGGCCUACCAAGGCGGCGACGGGUAGCCGGCCUGAGAGGGUGGACGGCCACAUUGGGACUGAGAUACGGCCCAGACUCCUACGGGGGGCAGCAGUGGGGAAUAAUGCACAAUGGGCGCAAGCCUGAUGCAGCGACGCCGCGUGGGGGAUGACGGCCUUCGGGUUGUAAACUCCUUUCGCUAGGGCGAAGCUUUUUGUGACGGUACCUAGAUAAGAAGCACCGGCUAACUACGUG